GACGAACGCUGGCGGCGUGCCUAAUACAUGCAAGUUGAGCGCUGAAGGUUGGUACUUGUACCAACUGGAUGAGCAGCGAACGGGUGAGUAACGCGUGGGGAAUCUGCCUUUGAGCGGGGGACAACAUUUGGAAACGAAUGCUAAUACCGCAUAAAAACUUUAAACACAAGUUUUAAGUUUGAAAGAUGCAAUUGCAUCACUCAAAGAUGAUCCCGCGUUGUAUUAGCUAGUUGGUGAGGUAAAGGCUCACCAAGGCGAUGAUACAUAGCCGACCUGAGAGGGUGAUCGGCCACAUUGGGACUGAGACACGGCCCAAACUCCUACGGGAGGCAGCAGUAGGGAAUCUUCGGCAAUGGACGAAAGUCUGACCGAGCAACGCCGCGUGAGUGAAGAAGGUUUUCGGAUCGUAGAACUCUGUUGGUAGAGAAGAACGGUGGUGAGAGUGGAAAGCUCAUCAAGUGACGGUAACUACCCAGAAAGGGACGGCUAACUACGUG
rnacentral:rRNA from 1 species